rnacentral:rRNA from 1 species
UACGAAGGGGGCUAGCGUUGUUCGGAAUUACUGGGCGUAAAGCGAACGUAGGCGGACUCUUAAGUCAGGGGUGAAAUCCCGGGGCUCAACCUCGGAACUGCCUUUGAUACUGUGAGUCUCGAGACCGGAAGAGGUGAGUGGAAUUCCUAGUGUAGAGGUGAAAUUCGUAGAUAUUAGGAAGAACACCAGUGGCGAAGGUGGCUCACUGGUCCGGUUGUGACGCUGAUGUGCGAAAGCGUGGGGAGCAAACAGG